rnacentral:rRNA from 1 species
GAUAAACGCUGGCGGCGUGCAUUACACAUGCAAGUCGAACGAAGUGGCGAACGGGUGAGUAACACGUGAGUAAACUGCCUUACACAAGGGGAUAGCCUUUGGAAACGAAGCAUAAUACCCUAUAGUGUAAGAUGAACUUGCGUCUGAUUAGCUAGUUGGUGAGAUAAAAGCCCACCACGGCGACGAUCAGGAGCCGGCUUGAGAGAGGUUACGGCAAAAUUGGGACUGAGACACGGGCCAAACUCUAUGGGAGGCAGCAGUGGGGAAUUGUGCACAAUGGGGGAAACCCUGAUGCAGCGACGCCGCGGGAUUUAGAAGGCCUUCGGGUUGUAAAAAUCUUUUUUAUGGGAUGCAGUACCAUAAGAAUAAGGUCCGGCUAAAGACGUGCCAGCAGCCGCGGUAAUUC